rnacentral:rRNA from 1 species
AACGAACGCUGGCGGCAUGCCUAACACAUGCAAGUCGAACGAGACCUUCGGGUCUAGUGGCGCACGGGUGCGUAACGCGUGGGAACCUGCCUUUAGGUUCGGAAUAACUCAGAGAAAUUUGAGCUAAUACCGGAUAAAUGUCUUCGGACCAAAGAUUUAUCGCCUUUAGAUGGGCCCGCGUUGGAUUAGCUAGUUGGUGGGGUAAAGCCUACCAAGGCGACGAUCCAUAGCUGGUCUGAGAGGAUGAUCAGCCACACUGGGGACUGAGACACGGCCCAGACUCCUACGGGAGGCAGCAGUGGGAAUAUGGACAAUGGCGAAAGCCUGAUCCAGCAAUGCCGCGUGAGU